GACGAACGCUGGCGGCGUGCUUAACACAUGCAGGUCGAGCGGUAAGGCUCCUUCGGGAGUACACGAGCGGCGAACGGGUGAGUAACACGUGAGUAACCUGCCCUUCUCAUCGGAAUAAGCGUUGGAAACGAUGUCUAAUGCCGAAUACGACUUCGGAAGGGAUCUUCUGAAGUGGAAAGCUCCGGCGGAGAAGGAUGGACUCGCGGCCUAUCAGCUUGUUGGUGAGGUAACGGCUCACCAAGGCGACGACGGGUAGCCGGCCUGAGGGGGUGGCCGGCCACCCUGGGACUGAGACACGGCCCAGACUCCUACGGGAGGCAGCAGUGGGGAAUAUUGGACAAUGGGCGCAAGCCUGAUCCAGCAACGCCGCGUGAGGGAUGACGGCCUUCGGGUUGUAAACCUCUUUCAGCAGGGACGAAGCGCAAGUGACGGUACCUGCAGAAGAAGGACCGGCCAACUACGUGCCAGCCGCCGCGGUAA
rnacentral:rRNA from 1 species